rnacentral:rRNA from 1 species
GACGAACGCUGGCGGCGUGCUUAACACAUGCAAGUCGAACGGAGAAUUUUAUUUCGGUGAAAUUCUUCGUGGCGAACGGGUGAGUAACGCGUAGACAACCUACCUCUCAGAUGGGGACAACAUCGCGAAAGCGGUGCUAAUACCGAAUGAUGUAACUUUUCUGCAUGGAAGAGUUACCAAAGGCGGCCUCUAUUUAUAAGCUGUCACUGAGAGAGGGGUCUGUGUCUGAUUAGCUAGUUGGCGGGGUAAUGGCCCACCAAGGCGACGAUCAGUAGCCGGUCUGAGAGGAUGAACGGCCACAUUGGGACUGAGACACGGCCCAAACUCCUACGGGAGGCAGCAGUGGGGAGUCUUCCGCAAUGGACGAAAGUCUGACGGAGCAACGCCGCGUGAGUGAAGAAGGUUUUCGGAUCGUAAAGCUCUGCUGUUUGAGACGAACGUGCAAUUUUUGAAUAAGGAAUUGUAAUGACGGUAUUAAACGAGAAAGCCACGGCUAACUACGUGCCAGCCGCCGCCGUAA